CAACCCGGCAACGCUACUGCUCCGGUCGUGGCAUCCCACCAUCGCCCCCACAUCAGAGGUCCAUAUAGGUCUGCACGGGUUGAGCUACUCUCUCUAGAUUUGGUUUAGAUUCCGGUCCUCUCCUACCACCUUUGGUUGUUCCUUCAGAUCUAGUCCUCUCCUACCACCUGUGGCACAUAUAGACAUCUAAUUUGGUUGUUCCUGUGUUGAUUCCGUGUUUUGUGGGGGUGGUUUCCCGGUGGUUCUGAUAAUACCAAGGAAGGAAGGUUCAUACAGGAUGCAGCCCAGGUGUUUCAUAGAAUUCCGAGAAGUGGCGUAAGUGGUGGGCUGCAAGUAUUCUAAAUUAGAUAAUGAUCACUGGAUAUUGAAUGCAGACUGCAUUCUCAAGUACUACAGUUUGUGGAAUUGCUAUUUCUGAAGCAAAUUCAUAGCCGUGAGCACCUUACAAACUCAUCCUUUUGCAUUACAUCAGUUCAAGUUCAGCCAACUUAGUUAAUGACCUUCAGUGUAGUUAACUAAAAGUCAUCUUGAGGUGCCAUUCAUUUAAAGUUCUCAGUCGGACUUCUGUGUAGUGUUUAUAUUUUUAUUAUAAUGCCAAUACUUGAUGGAUGCAUAUGAACUGUAUGUAUAAAUAAUGUUGUGGUUAUUUAUAUGUAAUUAUCAUACAAAUUGAAUUGAGGAUGCAGCUGACGUUGUAAUUAAGGUUGAGUCUGCUUUUGUAAUUUUUUUAGCCAUCUUUAGUUAGUUUCCUGAUGGUUAUACCGUCAGAAAUUGGCUAGUGUUUUAGUACUGUCACAAAAAGAUUCCUAACGGUAAUCCAACAGGAAAAGACAAUCUUUCCAGUCGAGGCGUUCUUGUCGGCUGGACGUCAAAAAUCUAUUUCCUAACGGUUUUAGGCCCUUUCUUGACGGUUUAUGGCCUUCAGGAUUUUUCUGCUCUGUGGUAGUCAUAGAGUAUGUCCAUAUGUAGCAAACAUACAUUCUUUUCUCCCAAUUUUAACAAAUAUCUAGUUCUAAUUACUUUUUUAAGUCAUUGGUGAAGACAUAGCGGUUUGCGUUUCAAUUUAGUAUACUAAUAGCGAGCUAAAUGACGCUAUAUAUAGCGGGAUAUAGCCACACAACUUUAAUGAAUAUAGCCACACAACUUUAAUGAAGACAAACAACAUGUCCUGUAUCGAUCAAGUAUACUUAUAGCAGGGUUCUGGAUAGCUAAUU